rnacentral:rRNA from 1 species
GAUGAACGCUGGCGGCAGGCUUAAUACAUGCAAGUCGAACGCCCCUUUCGGGGGGAGUGGCAGACGGGUGAGUAAUGCGUGGGAACGUGCCCAAAGGUAGGGAACAACUCCGGGAAACUGGAGCUAAUACCCUAUGUGCCCGAGAGGGGAAAGAUUUAUCGCCUUUGGAUCGGCCCGCGUUGGAUUAGCUAGUUGGUGGGGUAAAAGCCUACCAAGGCGACGAUCCAUAGCUGUUCUGAGAGGAAGAUCAGCCACACUGGGACUGAGACACGGCCCAGACUCCUCCGGGAGGCAGCAGUAGGGAAUCUUGGACAAUGGGCGCAAGCCUGAUCCAGCCAUGCCGCGUGAGUGAUGAAGGCCUUAGGGUUGUAAAACUCUUUCGCAGGUGACGAUAAUGACGGUAACCUGAGAAGAAGCCCCGGCUAACUUCGUGCCAGCAGCCGCCGUAA